rnacentral:rRNA from 1 species
GACAGAGGUGCCGAGCGUUAGGCGGAAUCACUGGGCUUAAAGCGUGUGUAGGCGGAGGCCUAAGUACCUUGUGGAAAUCCCACGGCUCAACCGUGGAACUGGCUUGGUAUACUGGGGUCUCUUGAGCCACCUAGGGGCAAGUUGGAACAAACGGUGGAGCGGAUGAAAUGCGUAGAUAUCGUUUGGAACGCCAAUGGUGAAACACGUUGCUGGGGUGUGCUGACGCUGGAGACACGGAAAGCCAGGGGAGCAAACGGG